rnacentral:rRNA from 1 species
ACAGCUCAAAUUUGAAAUCUGGCCCUCGGGUCCGAGUUGUAAUUUGUAGAGGAUGUUUUUGGUGCGGUACCUUCCGAGUUCCCUGGAACGGGACGCCAUAGAGGGUGAGAGCCCCGUCUGGUUGGAUGCCAAUCCUCUGUAAAACUCCUUCGACGAGUCGAGUAGUUUGGGAAUGCUGCUCUAAAUGGGAGGUAUAUGUCUUCUAAAGCUAAAUAUUGGCCAGAGACCGAUAGCGCACAAGUAGAGUGAUCGAAAGAUGAAAAGCACUUUGAAAAGAGAGUUAAAAAGCACGUGAAAUUGUUGAAAGGGAAGCGCUUAUGACCAGACUUGGGCUUGGUUGAUCAUCCGGCGUUCUCGCCGGUGCACUCUUCCGGUCCAGGCCAGCAUCAGUUUGCUUCGGGGGAUAAAGGCUUUGGGAAUGUGGCUCCCUCGGGAGUGUUAUAGCCCAUUGUGCAAUACCCUGGAGCGGACUGAGGUACGCGUUCUGCAAGGAUGCUGGCGUAAUGGUCAUCAGUGACCCGUC